CCUACGGGCUGCAGCAGUGGGGAAUAUUGCACAAUGGGCGCAAGCCUGAUGCAGCCAUGCCGCGUGUAUGAAGAAGGCCUUCGGGUUGUAAAGUACUUUCAGCGGGAAGGAAGGUGUUGUGGUUAAUAACCACAGCAAUUGUCGUUACCCGCAGAAGAAGCACCGGCUAACUCCGUGCCAGCAGCCGCGGUAAUACGGAGGGUGCAAGCGUUAAUCGGAAUUACUGGGCGUAAAGCGCACGCAGGCGGUCUGUCAAGUCGGAUGUGAAAUCCCCGGGCUCAACCUGGGAACUGCAUUCGAAACUGGCAGGCUAGAGUCUUGUAGAGGGGGGUAGAAUUCCAGGUGUAGCGGUGAAAUGCGUAGAGAUCUGGAGGAAUACCGGUGGCGAAGGCGGCCCCCUGGACAAAGACUGACGCUCAGGCGCGAAAGCGUGGGGAGCAAACAGGAUUAGAUACCCUUGUAGUC
rnacentral:rRNA from 1 species